rnacentral:rRNA from 1 species
UACAGAGGGGGCAAGCGUUGUUCGGAAUUACUGGGCGUAAAGGGCGCGUAGGCGGCCACCGCAAGUCGGUUGUGAAAUCUCCGGGCUUAACCCGGAAAGGUCAACUGAUACUGCGGGGCUAGAGUGCAGAAGGGGCAACUGGAAUUCUCGGUGUAGCGGUGAAAUGCGUAGAUAUCGAGAGGAACACCUGCGGCGAAGGCGGGUUGCUGGGCUGACACUGACGCUGAGGCGCGAAAGCCAGGGGAGCGAACGGG